CCAGACUCCUACGGGAGGCAGCAGUCGGGAAUAUUGCGCAAUGGCGGAAACUCUGACGCAGUGACGCCGCGUAUAGGAAGAAGGUUUUCGGAUUGUAAACUAUUGUCGUUAGGGAGGCUAAAAGCCUGUACCUAAGGAGGAAGCCCCGGCUAACUAUGUGCCAGCCGCCGCGGUAAUACAUAGGGGGCAAGCGUUAUCCGGAAUUAUUGGGUGUAAAGGGGGCGUAGACGGAAGAACAAGUUGGUUGGGAAAUCCCUCGGCUCAACUGAGGAACUGCAACCAAAACUAUUCUCCUUGAGUGUCGGAGAGGAAAGUGGAAUUCCUAGUGUAGCGGUGAAAUGCGUAGAUAUUAGGAGGAACACCAGUGGCGAAGGCGACUUUCUGGACGAUAACUGACGUUGGGGCACGAAAGUGUGGGGAGCAAACAGGAUUAGAUACCCGAGUAGG
rnacentral:rRNA from 1 species